GUAAAUCCUUGCCUCUCACUUU
rnacentral:miRNA from 1 species